AAGUCGUAACAAGGUCUCCGUAGGUGAACCUGCGGAGGGAUCAUUUGAGAUUGGGAUGUGAAGGUGGAGAUGUGGGGGAGCGACACAUGGGGGAGGAGAUGUGUCGAGAGUGCAGUGCGUGGAUUGGAUGGGCGCCGGGAUCGGCGGACCGAGACGCGGCUGCAUGUGUGGAUGCACGAUGGGAUGUGGCUGUUACCCGAUAUGGGUACGGCAGCAGGAUGGAGCGGUGCGCACGCGGAUACGUGACGCCGCUGCUGUGGAUGGAUAUGGCGGGCGUGUGGCGUAGCAGUCAAUGCUGCGCCGCGCGGCCAACAGAGAUAUACAACUUUUGGCAACGGAUCUCUUGGUUCUC
rnacentral:misc_RNA from 1 species